rnacentral:rRNA from 1 species
AACGCGAAGAACCUUACCCAGGCUUGACAUCCGGGGAAGCCUCUUUAACGGGAGGCGUGUCCUUCGGGAAGCCCCGAGACAGGUGCUGCAUGGCUGUCGUCAGCUCGUGCCGUGAGGUGUUUGGUUAAGUCCAGCAACGAGCGCAACCCCUGUCGCCAGUUGCCGUCGAGUAAAGUCGGGCACUCUGGCGAUACUGCUGUGGUCAACACAGAGGAAGGUGGGGACGACGUCAAGUCAUCAUGGCCCUUACGCCUGGGGCUACACACGUACUACAAUGGCGCGCACAAAGGGGAGCAAGACCGCGAGGUGGAGCCAAUCCCAACAAACGCGUCCCAGUUCGGAUUGCAGUCUGCAACUCGACUGCAUGAAGUUGGAAUCGCUAGUAAUUCCGGAUCAGCAUGCCGGGGUGAAUGCGUUCCCGGGC